rnacentral:tRNA from 1 species
GUAGCUUAGUGGCAAGAGCGUCACGUUGCCAACGUGAAGGUCGCUGGUUCGAAUCCAGCC